AAAAAUGAAGCAAACAUCGCAUUCAGUUUCGACCUGACCUUAGGAUUUCCCCAUUUUUA
rnacentral:tRNA from 1 species